rnacentral:tRNA from 1 species
UUUGUUGUAGUCUAGUUGGUUAGGAUACUUGGCUCUCACUUUAAAAACCUGGGUUCAAAUCCAAGCAACGGAA